GAAAUGCGAUAAGUAGUGUGAAUUGCAGAAUUCAGUGAAUCAUCGAAUCUUUGAACGCACAUUGCGCCCCUUGGUAUUCCAUGGGGCAUGCCUGUUCGAGCGUCAUUUGUACCCUCAAGCUCUGCUUGGUGUUGGGUGUUUGUCCCGUCUCCGCGCGUGGACUCGCCCCAAAGUGAUUGGCAGCCGGCGUACUGGUCCCGUAGCGCAGCACAUGUCGCGCAAACGAGUGCCUUGGUACGGCGGCGUCCAUAAGCCCCUCUCUCACGCUCUUGACCUCGGAUCAGGUAGGGAUACCCGCUGAACUUAAGC
rnacentral:misc_RNA from 1 species